rnacentral:rRNA from 1 species
AAUCUUCCACAAUGGACGAAAGUCUGAUGGCGCAACGCCGCGUGAUUGAAGUAUGUUUUCGGUGCUUAAAACUCUGUCGUAAGGGAAAAACACGGUCGCGAGUAACUGCGUGUACCUUUACGGUACCUUAUGAGAAUGCUACGGCUAACUACGUUCCAGCAUCCGCGGUAAUACGUAGGUGCCAAGCGUUGUCCGGAAUUAUUGGGCGUAAAGCGCGCGCAGUCGGUUCUUUAAGUCUGAUGUGAAAGCCCACGACUCAACCAGGGAGGGUCAUUGAAAACUGGAGAGCUUGAGUACAGAAGAGGAAAGCGGAAUUCCGCGUGUAGCGGUGAAGUGCGUAGAGAUGUGGAGGAACACCAGUGGCGAAGGCGGCUUUCUGGUCUGUAACUGACGCUGAGGCGCGAAAGCGUGGGGAGCAAACAGG